AAAGAUAGCUUCAUCGACUUCAGAAAGCACAGAUGUGAUCUCGGGAGUUCUUACACAGUUCUCCCCCCAUGGGAAAUCGGAACAAUCAAACGAGUUGCUACCCUGAUCGGAACUGAAGUAAAAGGCGGCAGUUUCCGACGGAAUAAAUGGUUUCGCCGCCGGCAUAGGAUUAGCUUCUGGUUUCUCUUCCACAGAUCCAAGUUUGUAAACAGGUUUCCGGGAUUUGGGCUUCGCCGGAGAAGCUUUCUCCGGGAAGUUGACUUUUGCUUUAUCACCACGGAUGCGUCUGGCCUCGGCGUCGUAAGCCCUCGCAGCUUCUUCAGCGGUAUUAAAGGUUCCAAGCCAUACACGGACGCCUUUC
rnacentral:lncRNA from 1 species